GCCAGGAUCCUAGAAACCAAAAGGUUGACUAGAUCGAAUUUUAAGGAUUGAAUCCAAAACUUGAAAAUUGUUUUGAGUUUUGAGAAAUUGACCUAUGUUCUUGAUCAGGACCUCCCCCCUCCAUCAGUCUGUCCGACCGCUAAUUAGAGAGCAUCUCAUGAGAAGUGGUUGGAUAAUGACAACAAGGUUAGGUGCUACAUGUUGGU
rnacentral:lncRNA from 1 species